CAUCUUUAGGGAGUUAUCCUAAGAUUUCUGGAUUUGUAACAUAACUUAGCAUACUUAAACACUUUUAAAAGCCUUUUCCUUCUAUACAAUUUUUCUCUGUGUUGUUCUGUUGCUUUUGUUGUAGUUGUUUUUCUAUCUUUGAGCGAAUGUGAAAUAUGAAUGCAAAUGAGUUCGCUUGCUAAUUGUCCGCCUGUUGCAAUUUCUUCGUUUGGCCAAGCGAGCGCAAUUAGUGCGGCUGCCGGACGUCUGAGGCCCGUCAAAAUGUGAAACUCUGCCGUGGCACUGCCACCACCCCUCUUUUGCUAUCUCCUAUACAUCCCUACUCCCCAUACUUGCCAUACUCCCCGUCAAAGACUCACACACUCUCCUUGUCAAUAUGCGUGGAGCUAUUUUUGGUAGAUUCAACAAUAGCCAGAAAGAGAGAGACGGAUGAUGAUGAUAAAAAACAAACUCUCUAGACCUGAAAAUACCUAAAAUAAAUGUGCUACAAUUUUGCCACCAUUUGUUGGAGCACGCAUAUAUCCCAUCACAGCUGCUCGUGAUCCUUUUGGCGUCGAGAAAUCAGCGCUCAAAUAUGAUUAAUAAGUAAUUUCUUUGUCAACAACAGACUGGGGAUGGCCUCAGAUGACGGCCGCGGCGAUAACGACAACAAGAACGGAACGACGCCAUGGAAAUCUUUAAUAAAAUACAUGCAUAAAUAAAUUAUAGGGCAGAGGCAAAGAAAAACAAACUGGCAGGAGAUGUACUGCUCUGAAUGGCAGCGAACGGGUAAUAAAACAAAGCGACGACAGCAAAGAUACAAAGAUACAAAGAUACAAAGGGGUGACAUGUGCAGCCGGGGCGUGACCGCACUUCCUUUUUUUCCAGGCUUAUAUACGCACUCCCCUGUAUCCACUUCGCCUAGCCUCUUUUCAGAGCUCCUUGGCCUUGGCGUUUCCCUGUUUAUUUCACAGUUGUAAAUUGCACAAAUGUCGUUGACUCUCGCUGACCUAGAGGGAAAAUAAAACCAUGGGAACUGCAAUGUGAGGGGAAAACGCAGUCUUGCCAAGAUUCAUGUGUAGAUGAUUCUGGGAAAUGAACAAAAGUUUCACUUCAGUCUUGAAAGUCCCGGCAUGCCAAAGCGGAAGGCCCGAAAACGAUUUCUGUCAACUUCUGGAGAAUUUUCAUUGCCCACCGUCCAUUAAUUGGGUUGUCGGGGGGCAAGCAGGGAAAAUGUGGAAAAUCUGUGAAAACCAGCUGGCAAUCGACCAUUGAAAAGUUCAGAUUGCUUGCUGACACACACACACAGCAACUCGACAUGUUUGACUUGCGAUUUUCCUUUAAACUCAACCGAAAUGCAGUUAGCAGCAGCAGCCAGAAAAUGAAGGAACAGACAAACACUCAGAUGGGCUGAUGGGUGGGUGGAAUGCAGUUCUCGGAAAACCAAAACGGAAACUGCAAAUACGAGGUAUUCGUACAGCAUACUUUUGGGUGCAGCUUGGCAGGGUGUGCUGGAAUGUCUCUAAUCUGGUAGGUACUACAACGCUGCAAUGCAUAAAUCUGCAGUGGCGAAUACUCUCGGGAAGGACUGUCUUCCCCGUACACCCGGCGAAUGAGCAAUUUCCCAGCAAUUCUUUGGCCAUUGCCAAUGUUUUCCCUCGCCAGCAUGCUGCGUAAUAUGUUCGCUUAUCGGAAUUCAAGUGGGUCUCAACACUCACCGCAAAAGUACACUGGCCAAACAACAAGACUACAUUGUCCAUUAAAUACUGCUUUGUUUUCUGAUUGCAACUGGAAUAAAAUUAAACUUAAAAGCGACUUUGUAGCAACGACUUAGAAAGGAUUCGCUAGAAAUAAUGGAAAUGGUUGGCAUUGCAACUGUUCUGGCCAAGGAGGUUUAUCAUCAGCUGCAGGCCCCAGGCGAAAAAACUCCAUUUGUUGACGUCACACGCACAACACACGUGUGUGUGUGUGUGAGUAAGCAUCCAUUACUCGAAGGACUCAGGGGUAUAAUGAGUUUAUGGAAGAAAUGUCCAUUUAAUUCACUAUAAGCAUUAAAAUAUUUAAUUAUUCUUUAAAGCUUCAA